GGGGAAUAUUGUACACUGGGCGAAAGCCCGAUCCAGCCAAACCCCGUGUGUGAAGAAGGCCUUCGGAUUGUAAAGCACUCUAAGCUGGGAGGAAGUGAAGUCAGUCAAUGCCUUGCAGGUUUCACGUUACCAACAGAAUAAGCACCGGCUAACUCCGAGCCAGCAGCCGCGGUAAUACGAAGGGUGCAAGCGUUAAUCGGAAUUACUGGGCGUAAAGCGCGCGUAGGUGGUUCAGCAAGUUGGAUGUGAAAUCCCCGGGCUCAACCUGGGAACUGCAUCCAAAACUACUGAGCUAGAGUACGGUAGAGGGUGGUGGAAUUUCCUGUGUAGCGGUGAAAUGCGUAGAUAUAGGAAGGAACACCAGUGGCGAAGGCGACCACCUGGAGUGAUACUGACACUGAGGUGCGAAAGCGUGGGGAGCAAACA
rnacentral:rRNA from 1 species